rnacentral:lncRNA from 1 species
AAAAUGUACAGUUCAGGACCUGGAGAGGUGACUAAGGAGUUUAGAGCACACAUUGUGAUGGCCACUCGACUUUAAUUCCAGCAUUUGGGAGGCAGAGGCAGGUGGAUCUCUGUGAGUUCAAGGCCAACCUGGUCUUCCAAAGGAAUUCUAAGACAGAGCUACAAAAUAGAGAGAUGCUGUCUCAAACAAAACAAAAGAAACAAAAUAACAACAACAAAAGAUAGUGUGUCUUGUUCUUCUGGAGGACAUAAGUUUGGUUUAUAGAGCCCAAUUGGGAGGUCUCUAACUUCAGCUCCAGAGGAUCUAACAUCUUCUGGUCUCCCGGGGAUACCUGGACCCACAUGACAUACACACAGACACAAAUGUGUACAUAUAAUACAAAAUAAAUAGAUAAAUAACUUGAAAUGUAUCAUUCCGUGUUUUUUUUUAAAUACUCCUAAGGUUGUACAACCAUCAGCACUAGCUAAUUCUAGAACAUUCUUAUCAUCUCAAAAAUUCAUUAGUAAUCCCUACCUCCUAAAUCUGGCAACUAUUAACCUAUUCUCUGAUUCUAUGAAUUUUUCUAUUUUAGACAUUCACACAAGUGGACUCAUAUACUAUAUUGUAGUUAUGGCUAGCUUCUUUCAUUUAGCAAAAUGUGUUCAAGGUUCAGCCCCAGUACAAUGUGUGCCAGCAUGCCAUUUCUUUUACUAGCCAAAUAAUAUUCCACUGUAUGGAUAUACCAUAUUUUUUGGCAUUUACAACAGCAUCACUGUUAGUAACUAAACUAUACUUGAUUUAGAAAUUGUAUUAAUUAGGAUAAGUUAUGUCUUUAACUUCUAAAAAAGAUAAGCAUUCUAGCAAAAUGAAGGAAAGAAAGGAGAGAAGAUAUUGGGGGGGGGGAACAAUAAAUUUCUAUACCGUUUCUGUUUUCCAGAAAAACAGAAUUCUAUGCAAGCCAGAAAUAUUUUGUAAAACCUUUUUCCUGUGCACACAUAUAGAGAUACACUUUCUUAAGUCUGGAGAACACAGCACUCUGCUAACUUGGUUCAAAGUUUCCAGAGGAUAAGGAGAAGAGAAAACAAAUGCACACAGCCACCUUGCGCCUUAGUCUGUCUUUCCCUGUGUCUUGACCUCACCCCCACUCUGCUGUUCUGUCCUUCUGUGUGCUCCUGGUGGUCCAUCUGGAGGUCAGUCCAGCAGGCGAUUCUGGGCAAGCUGUGGGAGAGGUUAGCAGUUAUGCUUAAUUACAAGGAAAUAAGAUUUCUCUGGGGCUGCUGUGAGCGGGGGAAGCAGAUAUGAUCAGUCAAAGUGCUCCAAGAGCCUUGGAAGGCAGCCCCUCUGCAAAGACAGGGUUGGCCUUUAUUGUUACUGCUGUUAAUAAGCCAGAUGUUCUCAAAGCAUUCCUCCAACCGGUGACAGGGCUUGGGAAAUUGCUACCCCUUUAUUGGUUGCUGAAACCAAAUAAAAAUCAAAUUAAAGUUUAAUUCACCUCAUAAUUUUCUUCAUGGCAGCUCUGGUUGGCAGCCUUGAGGCAGAGCCAACCUCCUCCUCCUCCACAGCAUCCAUCACCCUCAGCCGAAGCCCCCAGAGGCCAGCUGCUCCUUAUACCUCUGCCAGAAGUCCUCUGUGGGUGCAGGCUGCAGCUGCAGAGAGAGUUGAGGCUCUGGCUAAGAUGAAAGGACUUUGGGAGCGGCAUGGGGGGAUGCCAGAAAGUCUUUCCCUCUUCUCCUCUCCUCUGGGGUCUCCAUGGUGACCGGGCAGGGGUCCGAUAGAUAUUCUAGUUAUGCGACUUGGGCCAAUCCUAUAUCCACCUCCCACAGGGUUCUUGACUCCACAUGCAGAGCGGGCUGAAGCCACUCCUGCUAUCCAGGCAGCGCCUGUCCUAACAAGGAUUCAAUCAAUAUCUCUUGCACUUAUGCGAAGAUUUUCCUAAAAUACCCAAGACUUCCGGGGCAGCACUCCAGCGCUAACAUGAUUCCACAUGUGUUGUGAGUUAGCAGCCUGCUACUGUCUGUGUAAACGCAAGAGCUGGGUUUGGUUUGCCGUUCUGAAAUACACCGGUGAAAGUCAGCAGUCUCCUCCUCGAAAUCAGACGGAGGGCAAAAGGCAGAAGAAGAUCGCGAUAAGACCCAGGAGGUAACAGUCAUAGGGGUGGAGAUCUGCUUCAUAAAAAGCCACCGCAGGGGCACCAGAAGGGCACAUGUGACCACCAGGCAGGGGUGCGAACCCUUCUUCGCAGUCACCCCGAUCACCCACUCAUUUUACAGCCCAGGGACUGCAAAACGGACUAGCCCAUGCCAAGGAAGACGGGACCGAAGGCUGGAGCGAGCGCCUGCAGGCUGAUGGAGUGACUGACUGACAACUUACACUCAAGCAAGAAAUCAAAUAGAAAUGGAGCCAGGAAGUGCUCCACAGAGGACAUAACUGAGAGAUGCAAGCAAGAAUUAGCUCCCUCUCGGUGUGACAGAGUAAACACUAGAUCAGUGGUGAGCUGGGGGGCGGGGAGGGGCGACAAGGGGAUGGAGGAGACACAACACGUGAGACAUUGCCUACCUUCAUUACCAACUGUGCCUUUAAAGACACGGGAGGUUUUAAUGCGUGUAGCCAUGCUGAUCUUUGUACUUAUGAGUGGAAAACUUUUUUGUUUGCUUGCUUGCUUGUUUUAUUCUUCCGUGGGGAUCGUAGCCAGGGCUCUGUUCACGCCGACCACGUAGUCUACUACUGAGCUGCGUCUCAGUCUCCCCCUCCCGCGACCCCAUAGGAGUUUUUCCUGUAAGGAUCUUGAGUCCUGGCAUGACAUUAAAGAAAAGCAGUACAAUUGCGCAGAACCACUUUUACCUCGCCGUAUAAAGUGUAGCGUGCUUCCUGAAGCUGCGUCUAAUCUAAUCGCCUUCUGUUUCCCC